GAAAUUAGGGCAGUUGAUGAGAAAGAGAGAGCCAAAAUAGAAUAAUGUUGUAAAAUUUCUCUUUAUUCAAAAGAAGAGAGAAAUUUAAAAGAAAUUGAGUGAAAGGAACAAAUUAAGGAAACAAAAAAGAUGGUAUUUCGGAUGUACGGAAUGGCAGUAAAGCCAUAUGUUAUGUUUUCUUCGUCGCCUCUUUUUCAUCGUCCUUUCAAAAUUAGAGCUCAAUGUUUCAGAGACGAUCAAGGAAGGUUCAAUAAGAUGGUAGAUAGCAACUUGGGAGUUUUAAGAGAGAGGAUAGAAGAGGUAAAGACGAGAGAGAAACUAGAGAGGUGCUUGAGUUGCAAACAUAAUUAUGGAUGGAACUAUGUGGCUUCCUAUGAUUACAAACUCCAAAAGGACAAACAAUUUUCUGAGUUUCUUCAAAUUUUAUUUCUAAUUACUGCCUCUUUGGGUUUUACAUUUCUUUCUGGUACUUUUUCCCUUUGUUUGCUUUCCUUUCUACUUCAUUUCCACCAUUAAUUCAAUUAACUUCUCCAUUUCUUCCUAUGAAGAAUACUAAACCUUUUUUCAAUUAUUUUAAUUUUGUUUUUCGAUUUUGUCUAUAUUAUUGAUAUUUUCUUUUGAACUAUCAAUGUGAAGAUUUGAACUUCUGAGAUGAUGUUUU